UACGUAGGGUCCGAGCGUUGUCCGGAAUUAUUGGGCGUAAAGGGCGUCUAGGCGGUCAGGUAAGUGGGAUGUGAAAUGCCCCGGCUCACCCGGGGACCGGCAUCCCAUACUGCUUGGCUUGAGUACGGGAGAGGAUGUGGGAAUUCCUGGUGUAGCGGUGAAAUGCGUAGAUAUCAGGAGGAACACCGGUGGCGAAGGCGCACAUCUGGCCCGAUACUGACGCUGAAGCGCGAAAGCUAGGGGAGCAAACGGG
rnacentral:rRNA from 1 species